AAACUUAAAGGAAGUUUCGACGGGGGCCCGCACAGCGGUGAGCAUGUGGUUUAAUUCGAAGCAACGCGAGAACCUUACCAGGCCUUGACAUGCUGGGGAACCUAGGUGAAAGCCUGGGGUGCCCGCGAGGGAGCCCUAGCACAGGUGCUGCAUGGCCGUCGUCAGCUCGUGUCGUGAGAUGUUGGGUUAAGUCCCGCAACGAGCGCAGCCCCUGCCCUUAGUUGCCAGCGGGAUAGGCCGGGCACUCUAAGGGGACUGCCUGCGAAAGCAGGAGGAAGGCGGGGACGACGUCUGGUCAUCAUGGCCCUUACGGCCUGGGCGACACACGUGCUACAAUGCCCACUACAGAGCGAGGCGACCCAGCGAUGGGGAGCGAAUCGCAAAAAGGUGGGCGUAGUUCGGAUUGGGGUCUGCAACCCGACCCCAUGAAGCCGGAAUCGCUAGUAAUCGCGGAUCAGCCAUGCCGCGGUGAAUACGUUCCCGGGCCUU
rnacentral:rRNA from 1 species